rnacentral:rRNA from 1 species
UACGUAGGGGGGCAAGCGUUGUCCGGAUUUAUUGGGCGUAAAGAGCGUGUAGGCGGCCAGGUAGGUCUGCUGUGAAAACUCGAGGCUCAACCUCGAGAUGUCGGCGGAAACCAUCUGGCUAGAGUCCGGAAGAGGAGAAUGGAAUUCCUGGUGUAGCGGUGAAAUGCGCAGAUAUCAGGAAGAACACCGAUGGCGAAGGCAGGUCUCUGGGCCGAUACUGACGCUGAGGAGCGAAAGCGUGGGGAGCGAACAGG